GUUAAGUAGGGGUCAGGGUGAGAGGUGAUACAAAGGAUGUGAGCUUGAUCCGGUUUUAUUGGGUUUAAAGGGUGCGUAGGCGGCCUUAUAAGUCAGUGGUGAAAUCCUAUCGCUGAACGAUAGACGUGCCAUUGAUACUGUAGGGCUUGAGUAUAGAUGCCGUUGGCGGAAUGUGUCAUGUAGCGGUGAAAUGCAUAGAUAUGACACAGAACACCGAUUGCGAAGGCAGCUGACGAAACUAUAACUGACGCUGAUGCACGAAAGCGUGGGGAUCAAACAGGAUUAGAUACCCGUGUAGUC
rnacentral:rRNA from 1 species